CCGCGGAUCCCGGCUCGUCGGAGUCCGAGCGUGCGAGUUGGUACCCGAAAGAUGGUGAACUAUGCCCGACCAGGGCGAAGCCGGAGGAAACUCCGGUGGAGGCCCGAAGCGGUUCUGACGUGCAAAUCGAUCGUCGGAGUGAGGUAUAGGGGCGAAAGACCAAUCGAACCGUCUAGUAGCUGGUUCCCUCCGAAGUUUCCCUCAGGAUAGCUGGCAUUCGGGAAAUCUUCAGUUGCUUCGCGUAGAGAGAAUGAGUAGAGGCCCCGGGGCCCGAGACGACCUCAACCUAUUAUCAAACUACUACGGGGUGCGUCGGGCCGGGCUUGCUCGAUCGUGAGGCCGUCGGCCCAGGACAA
rnacentral:rRNA from 1 species